ACCUCGGGAGGCAGCAGUAGGGAAUUUUCGUCAAUGGGCGCAAGCCUGAACGAGCGAUGCCGCGUGAGUGAAGAAGGCCUUCGGGUCGUAAAGCUCUGUUGCGGGGGAAAAAAGGCAGCAUCAGGAAAUGGGUGCUGACUGAUGGUGCCCCGCCAGAAAGACACGGCUAACUACGUGCCAGCAGCCGCGGUAAUACGUAGGUGGCGAGCGUUAUCCGGAAUGAUUGGGCGUAAAGGGUGCGUAGGCGGAUUUUUAAGUGAGAUGUGAAA
rnacentral:rRNA from 1 species